CGGGGCCCGGACGCGGCUGCUCCGGUAACGGGCGGGUUGUGGGCCCGGGAGCUCCGGUACGGGCGGGCUGUGUGACCCUGGAGCUCCGAUUCCUGCUGCAUUAUGUCAGGAGAGAGCGACUGCACCAGGACAAGUCCGUCAGCAGGGUCUCCGUCGGACAAUGAGCUCCUGCCAGACCGGCCAAAGUAUGUCUGUGCCCUGUCUCCUGAUCUUGUCACCAAAGCCCGGGAGGAGCUCCAGGAGAAGCCUGAGUGGAGGCUGCGUGACGUGCAGGCACUCCGAGAUAUGGUGUGCAAGGACUACCCUUCCCUGGGCACGUGCCUGGAUGAUGCUUUUUUGCUAAGGUUCCUCCGAGCCAGGAAAUUCGAUUACGAUCGAGCGCUUCAGCUCCUGGUGAACUACCACACCUGUAGGAGGACCUGGCCAGAGGUGUUCAGUAACCUGAAGCCAUCUGCAAUAAAGCCUGUGCUGGAGUCAGGCUUUGUCACAGUGCUGCCUCACCAGGACCCACAGGGACGCCACGUCGUCUGCAUCCGCCCAGACAGAUGGACACCCAGUAAUUAUCCGAUUACUGAGAACAUUCGUGCCAUAUACUUAACCUUAGAAAAACUCAUUCAGUCCGAAGAGACCCAGGUGAAUGGAAUUGUAAUCCUGGCAGACUACAAAGGAGUCAGCUUAUCUAAGGCGUCUCAUUUUGGUCCUUUUGUAGCCAAAAAAGUGAUUGGAAUUCUUCAGGAUGGAUUCCCCAUUCGAAUAAAGGCCGUUAACAUAAUAAAUGAGCCUCGUAUAUUCAAAGGCAUUUUUGCAAUCAUCAAGCCUUUUCUGAAGGAAAAGAUUGCAAACAGGUUUUUUCUACAUGGCUGCGAUCUGAAUUCCCUUCACCAAAACAUUCCUCCAGUGAUCCUUCCUGAAGAGUAUGGUGGUACUGCAGGCAAGCUGGACAUCUCUGCCUGGAACGAGCUGCUGCUGGCCUCUGAAGAGGACUUCCUGCAUGAUUUCUCAGAGCUGGUGCUGCCCUGUGACAGCUCUCCCCACGACCUGCUAAUGAGUGGGGAUGCUGAUGAAAAGCAGUGUGAUGAUUCCCUUCGAGGGAUGAAACCUCAGCUCUAUUACUGUUACUAACAAACCACUGGAGGGAAGUUUUCCAGCACAGUUAAGAUCUGCUGUGCUAGGUGAUGUUGGGAACUCUGCCUUACUCCUAAACCUGCAUUUUAGGGACAGACUGCUGAGGCACUUUACACUGUAGAACCAAAGGAAGCUGGAGAGGGCACAAUGGGGGCAGGGCAGAGUUCAGGAAGGGUAAAAGCAAAGAGCACAAGUUAUGUAGAAGACUUGAGGCUCAUCAACCUCUGUGUGAAUGGUGCAAACUGGCCUAUUCUUUCUAAUGAUAAAGGGAAAAAUUAUUGCAGAUAGGUAAGCUUGACAAUUUCUUGUCCCAGCCCCACACAGGUGAAAAGUGAGGAUGAUUUCUGAGCUUUGUGAUUAUCUGGUCCCUUCCCCUUCUGCAAACACGAGUAAUCCAAGACAAGAAAAUGGCUCUUGAACCCUGCAAAAUAUAAUUCUGUAGUGAAGAUUGCUUAAAACCAUAAAAGUCUAACUUGGCCUAUCGUCUGUCACGUGGUUCAGAUUGUGAGUUGGUGUUUCUGAAAUAUCUCAGUGAAUAUUUGUUUCAAAUUAAUACAGAACAAAAUUUACUCAUGAAUGCCUGUAUGGAGAUAAUCUCUUAAACUUUCUUACAGUUGGAAGAACUGUGACUGAUGGAUUAACUACCAUAACAUCUAUACCAAGGUUUAUACAGCAGAUGCAAUCUUCAUUUUCAGAAAACAGCAAGUUUUUCAGAUAAUUUACUAAUCAAUUAUUUUAAUCAGACAACAGCUUCAAAUAAGGAAGUUCAGGACCAAAUAAAAGAAAGCUGUGUCAGCCACCUUCCCCCAUUGAUAGUUCUUUUCUGGUUGAGAUAAGGAAUUGGGUAAGUACCUCACACCUAGGAUGUGUGAGGUUUUGUAGCAGUUGGCAUGUGAUGUAUAGAAGGCAAUACUUCAUGAAAGACAGCAAGGUGCUGCUUUAGCUUAUUACUUUGGGCUGAAUUUGAGUUCACAGUCUGUGAAACCAAAUGCAGACAGGCUUUUUAAAAGCACAUUCUUAAAUUUCCUGAUAUUGUAGCAUUUUGUUCACUGUGCUUGUCAGCUCUUCUGUGAAAUGUUACAACUUGGUUUUUAACUUUGUUGACCUCUUUCGUCUUUGGUUGUCAUGUUCCUGUAUGAAGUUAGACUUGAAUCAUCUCUGUGAUAUUUACCCAUAACUUGUAUGCCUGUGCUUCUAGGUCUUUGUUUAGAGACAGAACUAACGUUGAUGUCAAAUCAGGGUGAGAUACCUGUGUCUGAAUAAGCUGUUCCCACUCCCCAGGUUCAUUUUGUUUAAUGAUCUUGAAUUAGAACUUAACUCUCAGCACACUCUUUGCACACAUUUGUCUGCACUGUAAUGGUGUGGAGAUGGGAAACCUCACUAGGACGAGGAAAGCACAGUCUGUUACUUCAAGGUGAAACAAUUCACUGUUUGGUGGAAAAGAACAUCCCUUCUAAUUGGGAACUUAUCACUAGAGCACUUUCUCUGGAUGAAAUCUUGAUGUAGUGCCAAAUGUGAUUAUAGGCACCAGUCACAUUUCUGUAAAUAUAAAACUAAAUUAUCUUGAGGAUCUCAGACAUUCAUUUUUCAAAGUGCCAAACUCUGUUUUGAAUGUCUUUCUUCUUCUCAGCCCCCUUGCAGCAUGACUGCACUGCCAAAAGGAGAUUCCUCUACGACUGUAACAUCUUCCUGACCUGGCAGCAGGCCUCAUCCUGGAACUAAGGGUUGGCAAAUGCCAUACCUGUCAUGCCAACUUUAUAAAAAGAGACUGGGUUCUGAAAAGGGGUAAAACCAUGAAGCUUUUUUUCUUUUAUGGGUGGCAGUUCAGAAUCUGUAGGAGCAGAAAACUCAUCACAUGAACAGUUGUAGAUUAAAGGUGUGAAGAGAUUAAUUUUCCUCAGUGGUAGCAUCUCAUUUUUCGUACCUUUACUUGUAACUCCUUUUUGAUAACUAAUACCUUUAGUGCAGGGAAAAAACAAACUACCAUUUUCAUCUACUUAAAACAAGGUAAAGAGUACUGCUAGGCAGCUUGUCCUUUGUGUCCAGAAUAUGCUCUGUGUUUUGCAGAAAAUAAUUCAGUUUUUUGACACCUAGAAACCAGUAGCACACAGCACCAGGACUUGAACAGAUAAGUGGCUGCCCACACUGCUGAGCUGCUAGAACAGAGAGAAUGGUGACUUUGUUGUUUUAGUGCCUCUUCAUUCCAGUCACAAUGUACAACUGAAGAAAACAGAAUGGACCGUUUUGCCUAGAGACAAAGGCCUGACUGAUUGUCUCUCCUUAAUUGUGUUGUAGGGUUAGAAGUGGGGGUGUAUUGACUAUAGGAACAGCUACUUUCAUCCCCUUAUGUAACUACUAGAGAGAGUGGUUGGGUAUUCAAAAUUCAAUUUAGUGUCCUUCAAACAGAAAUAAAUCUAGUGGUGUUCAGCAGAAGGCUGAGGAACCUCUGCAAAACUCACCUUUUUUCAGGCUUUUCUAUUUUCUUGCAUGCCUUUAAUAGUAGGCAGACAAGAUUCACCUCACCCUCUUCUUUCCUCUGUUCACUAAGAAUAAAGAAUAUGAUUUAGACAUAAUAAAUGAGACUAUAUGGUUGUGCUGGGUUUGGCUGGGGUAGAAUUUUUUUCACAGGAAUCUGUGUGGCACUGUGAGUGAGCAGCUGGCUGGGGUUAAACCACAAUUGCCAGUACUGAAAAGUGCCAGUCUUGUGCCUCCAGAACUUCUUUUUCUUAAAGCUGGCUCUUGGGCAGCGGAUGUCAGGAUGCUGAAUUAAGCCAGGCUUUAUCAGGC